CAGGGAAUCUUGCGCAAUGGGCGAAAGCCUGACGCAGCGACACCGCGUGGGGGAAGAAGGCUCUAGGGUUGUAAACCCCUUUUCUCAAGGAUGAGUAAGGACAGUACUUGAGGAAUAAGGUUCGGCUAACUACGUGCCAGCAGCCGCGGUAAUACGUAGGAACCGAGCGUUGUCCGGAUUUACUGGGCGUAAAGGGCGCGUAGGCGGCCCGUCAAGUCUCAUGUGAAAUCUCCCGGCUCAACUGGGAGCGGUCAUGGGAUACUGGCAGGCUUGAGGGCAGCAGAGGAAAGUGGAAUUCCCGGAGUAGUGGUGAUAUGCGUAGAUACCGGGAGGAACACCCGAGGCGAAGGCGGCUUUCUGGACUGUACCUGACGCUGAGGCGCGAGAGCGUGGGGAGCAAACCGG
rnacentral:rRNA from 1 species